GUCUGCAGACUGCAGUAGAAAUUCAUGGUUCAUCAGAUGUGGUCUAGUUGUUAGGGAUUCGAGACGUGUUCAGCGAGGGGAUAAUGUUCAGUGCGUUCCGUUUUAAACAUUCUUUUGGCUACUGGUUAAUAGACUAAAAUUUGCGAUUUUUUCCUACCAACCUGAGGGACAAUUCUUUCCCACAACACACGAUUGUUUGUAUUGAUUGUUGUUGUAGUAGGCUAUGACGUCACUGAAAUAACCAUGCGUCUGAAGUGCGCCACCGGCAUUGUCACCACGAAUCAUCUUCUGAUACUUUGUCCGGUAUUGGUACAAGUAAUUACAUGGAGGUAGAGUGUCAAUUUGGGACUUGAUUUGUCAUCUGUUGUUCGAGGUGGAAAAACAGGGAUUGGAUCAACAAUUUUAUUCCCACACUCACCUUUGGAAUUCUUGGAUGGUAGCUGUUGUUUUAGGACACUCCUUGUUUGGGACUUGAUUUUUCACCAUUUGUUGAUUUGAAAAAACAGGGAUUGGACGAACCAUUUUAUUCCCACACUUAUCAUUGGAAUUCUGGCAUGGUAGCUGUUGCAGGACACUCUCCUUGGUUCGUUAGUGAGGUUCCAGAAAGCAGCAUUCCAAGAACAAGAAUCUAAUUUACAGGCUAUUAACAUAAUCUAGAAUGUUUAAUUUUGUUUUCCUGCCUUGAUGGUGAAAUUGAAUUAUAUUGGAACUUAAAAGUU